rnacentral:tRNA from 1 species
CUCCUUGUCCCAUGGAUAGGGGCAUCGGACUACGAAUCCGAUGUUCGAGGUUCGAUUCCUCGCAGGGAGG